rnacentral:rRNA from 1 species
CCUAUCAGCUUUCGACGGUAUGGUAUUGGCUUACCGUGGCAGUGACGGUUAACGGGGGAUUAGGGUUCGAUUCCGGAGAGGGAGCCUGAGAAACGGCUACCACAUCUAAGGAAGGCAGCAGGCGCGCAAAUUACCCAAUUCUAACAGUUUGAGAGAGGUAGUAACAAGAAAUAACAAUACAAGGCAGUUAAAAUGCUUUGUAAUUGGAAUGAUAGAAAUUUAAACCCUUUUUAAAGUAUCAAUUGGAGGGCAAGUCUGGUGCCAGCAGCCGCGGUAAUUCCAGCUCCAAUAGCGUAUAUUAAAAUUGUUGCAGUUAAAAAGCUCGUAGUUGAAGUUCUGCUGAAAGUAACCGGUCUGCUUUUAAUAAAAGUGGUAUCUUGGUAUGUAUUUAGCAAUGAUGUCCUUUGAAGUGUUUUUUACUUUAUUGUAAUAAAGCAUAUUCAGGACUUUUACUUUGAGAAAAUUAGAGUGUUUCUAGCAGGCUAACGCUUUGAAUACUGCAGCAUGGAAUAAUAAGAUAGGAUUUUAGUUCUACAUUAUUGGUUUUAAGAGCUAAAUUAAUGAUUGAUAGGGACAGUUGGGGGCAUUUGUAUUUAACUGUCAGAGGUGAA